rnacentral:rRNA from 1 species
GACGUAGGGCGCGAGCGUUGUCCGGAUUUAUUGGGCGUAAAGAGCUCGUAGGCGGCUUGUCGCGUCGGCUGUGAAAUCCCGUGGCUCAACUGCGGGCUUGCAACCGAUACGGGCAGGCUAGAGUUCGGUAGGGGAGACUGGAAUUCCUGGUGUAGCAGUGAAAUGCGCAGAUAUCAGGAGGAACACCGGUGGCGAAGGCGGGUCUCUGGGCCGAUACUGACGCUGAGGAGCGAAAGCGUGGGGAGCGAACAGG